rnacentral:rRNA from 1 species
CGGUGUUUUAGUCCAUUCAGAGGAAUCUGUCUAUUAAUUGAUAAUACACGAUUGGUUUUACUUAAAUUUGUUAUCAGUUUAUAUACCGUCGUCAUGAGAAUAUUUUUUAAGAAAAUUAAAUUUCUUAAUUUUGUAUUAAAUAGUAUGUCAGAUCAAGGUGUAAUUUAUGUUUAAGUUUAGAUGGAUUACAAUAAAUUUAUUUAUAUGAAUUAUUAAUUUAAUUGUUAAUAUGAAGGUGGAUUUGAUUGUAAAUAAUAUUGAUUAUUAUUUUUGAUUUU